ensembl:lncRNA
GUCACUGACUCGGCUGCGAUAAUGUUUCCUGGUGUUUGGAAACCUCUCUUUUUAAGAGUCUCUUCCCAGGACAGGAUUCCCUUCCCAGGACCGGAGCUCCCUCCCUACCUCCUUUGUCUCUUUUUUCAUCUUUUAUAUUUUUUCCUACCUGUUUUUGAAGCCAAUGAUCUGCUUUGCUGGGUGCCUGAUGUCCUCUGCCAGCAUUCAGAAGUUGUUUUGUGGAAUUUACUCAGCGUUGAAAUGUUCUUUUGAUGAAUUUUUGAGGGAGAAAGUGGUCUCCCUGUCCUAUUCCUCCUCCAUCUUAGGACCACCCCCAGAUAUUAGUUUAGGCUUAGGGAAACUUCAUAAUCAGAUACAGACCUUGGAACACUCUCGACUGGAUUUUACUGCCCCUGGAGCAGCUAAUGACUUUCUCCAUACUUUUUCUAACUUUAUUUCUGGAAAAGAACAUUCCUUCUACUAUUUUCACUUAUACUGCUGUUGGUGCCUUAAUUCUGCUUCUUAUAAUCAUUCUCCCUUGUAUUGUCAGGAUCCUUCAGCACAGCACUCAGAAACUCACGACUGAACUACAUCUGGCUGUUUUAAGAAAUAGAAAAGGGGGAGAUGCUGGGAGCCAGCAUGAGGAGUCCCACCCAUGGCAAAGGUCAUGAGGUUAAGGGGCCCAACAGGCAAAGGUGAGUCGGGCCUUAAGGGAGCCUCGCUGGAUCUGCUCAUGCAUCUGCCCCAAAACCAGAGUCUGCCUGCCUUAUGGCAUUGUGCUUUUUGCCUAAUCUUCUGACAUUAUACAGGGGGCUAUCCCCCACUACCUCUCUCUGAAAAGGAGUUAACUUAGGACUCCAGUUAAUAAAUCUCCUGGGUGUGACAAGGGUGUUUCAGUCCAAAAACCUCUCUGCUGGCAGACUAGCUUGUGUGACAGGAUUAUCCACAUUCUAGGUAGAUGAUUGUUUACAACCUCUCAACCAUAAAUAGCACAGAGAGUUUGGAGUAUUUUGAAAGUCUUAAUUAGCAUAGAGCUUUUCUCAUUUUGAGUCAAUGACUGCCAUCAGGCCUCCAUACCCCUAAGCACCUGGGAGUAUGUUUUAAGUUAAUGAAUUUUCUCUUUGUUAUAAAUCACUUUACUCCUCCUUUUUUUGUUAUAAACCGUGUAUCCUUGCAAUGUAAGAAUGUAAUGUUAUCACUAUCUUAAGACAAAGUGGAUCUUAAGGGAAAAAUAAGUUUUCUGAUUGACUAACCUUUAUCAAUAGAAAGUAAUAAUAAAAUGUUAGUCGGUCUAGAUAUUGUAAACAAACGUAAGACCCUUGUAAGAAUAAAGAUAUGCAAAGAACACUGUCUUUAGAUAAGGGUCAGAGCAGCUGUUUACAUUUAUCUUUAUGUAUAACUAAAGGUAUAAAAGUGAAUCUGGAAAAUAAACGGAUCAGUUCCUGGAAAGACUGGUCUCCUCAUGUUGUUCUUUCUCUCCCCUUCUGGCUGAAUUCCCAUCUGGAGCGUGGAUGCCUGCCAGGCCUACUAAUUUUGUGGGGGCUUCUAAGAUCUGACCGGGGAGGCCUUUGUGUCUCCUCUCCUUCGGGAGAACAGGAAGACGCCUGUGGCCUAGGCUAUUUCCUCCAUUUGGAGACCCCUGGCCUUCCUGCCUGUUACCCUCUCAACUUCAUGGCAAAUAGACGGAGAAACAACGGAAAUUGUAACAAACUUAUUUGGGGGGGUUUGAGAAAUCACUGCAGAUGGCGACUGCAGCCAUGAAAUUAAAAGAUUCUUGCUCCUUGGAAGAAAAGCUAUGAUCAACCUAGAAAUCAUAUUUAAAAAACAGAGACAUUACUUUGUGACAAGAUGCGUCUCAUCAAAGCUAUGGUUUUUCCACUAGUCAUAUAUGGAUGUGAGAGUUGGACCAUAAGGAAAGCUGAGUGCCGAAGAAUUGGUGCUUUUGAACUGUGGUAUUGGAGAAGACUCUUGAGAGUCCCUUGGACUGCAAGAAGAUUAAACCAGUCAAUUCUAAAGGAAAUCAGCCCUAAAUAUUCAUUGGAAGGACUGAUGUUGAAGCUGAAACUCCAAUACUUUGGACACCUAAUGUGAAGAACUGACUCACUUGAAAAGACCCUGAUGCUGGGAAAGAUUGAAGGCAAAAGGAAAAGGGGACAACAGAGAAUGAGAUGGCUGGAUGGCAUCAUCAGCUCCAGGAACAUGAGUUUGAGCAAGCUCCAGGAAUUGGUGAUGGACAGGGAAGCCUGGCAUGCUGCAGUUCAUG